CUCCUAACAAAAGAAGAUCUCGCUAGAAGAGAGUUUAUCAAGGGUGGAGACCUCAUAUUGCUCUUCACCAUGCAAGAUAUCUCAGCGCUGCUUCAGAAGCACUCUCUACCCUGCCCUAAAGUAACUGUGAAGAACUUCAACGUUUCUACUGACGCAAGCGCCCAGCAGGAACCAUGUGCUACAAGAGUUGCUUCCACACCUCAGCCGAUCUCAACAACUACAACUCCCACUA